GACGAACGCUGGCGGCGUGCCUAAUACAUGCAAGUCGAACGCAGUGGGGACGUGUGAGUAACACGUGGUUAACCUCCCAUCAGAGGGGAUAACACUUGGAAACAGGUGCUAAACCGAUACUGAUGGCUGUACCCUCGGUGCAUUAGCUAGUUGGUGAGGUAAGUGCUCACCAAGGCCACGAUGAAUAGCCGAGCUGUGAGGGUGUGCGGCCCCACUGGGACUGAGACACGGUCCAUACUCCUACGGGAGGCAGACGUGGGGCAGCUUCGGGAGUGGAAGAAGGGCUAGCCGGGAAACGCCACGUAAGUGAAAAAGGUUUGCGGUUAGGACAACCCAUUUGUUAGAGAAUCGGUAUCUAAUCAUAAAGCCACGGCUAACUACGUGCCAGCCGCCGCGGUAAUAC
rnacentral:rRNA from 1 species